rnacentral:lncRNA from 10 species
CUUGAAAAAAAUUUCCUUAAAUAUCUGGAUAAAAAAAUUAAAAAAAAAGAGAAAUAAAAGAAAAAGGAUUAUUUCUUUAAAUUCUUUUAAAGGUGCCAUCUUGGUGGCAGGUGCCACCAGGGAAGCCAUUCCUGCCUGAGGGUGUUGAAACAAUAUGAAGCUUCUGUGCCAGUCCUUCAGUGAGCUACUAGACAGAUCAAAACACACAAUUCCAGUUUUUGGCAGACAACGUCCUUAUUGCCAAGCCUGCACAAGUGAAUAGUUGCUUUGAUGGAAGGAGUGAUUCUUGGAAAUUCCUACUCUACCAUUUUCCAUGAGGUCAUGAAAACUUUAUGCUAAGGAGAACAAAAUUGGACAAUAUUGUAUCAUUUCAUUUAUAUGAAAAAAAUCCAGAAGGUAAAUCCAUACACACUGUAAAAAAAUUUGUGGUUGCUGGAAUUUGGGGGAGGAGGG